ACGGAGGAUGCGAGCGUUAUCCGGAUUUAUUGGGUUUAAAGGGAGCGCAGACGGGGAAUUAAGUCAGUUGUGAAAGUUUGGGGCUCAACCUUAAAAUUGCAGUUGAUACUGGUUCUCUUGAGUGCAGUUGAGGCAGGCGGAAUUCGUGGUGUAGCGGUGAAAUGCUUAGAUAUCACGAAGAACCCCGAUUGCGAAGGCAGCUUGCUAAACUGUAACUGACGUUCAUGCUCGAAAGUGUGGGUAUCAAACAG
rnacentral:rRNA from 1 species